CCCGGCCCGCCCCCGAGGUCCGCCAGGAGGCGCGCUUGGCGGAGAUCCAGCCGCAGGUCUUUUGCCUGCGCCUUAUCUCUCGCCUUUGACCCCCGCGCGGCCCGCGCUCAGUCUGGCCCAGGGUUCUGUUCCGUUCGCGGCACGUCCGCUCGACCCCCUCCCAGGUCCCCUCUUCUGGCGUGGCUCUGACCAGCCCAUCCGCAUACACACGGCGGGCGCCCGGAUCCGCGGGAUCUCGCAGCGGGGCGUUGCUGGGGGACGCCCUCACUCCGUCUCAGGCCUCAGAGGCCCCCUCGGGUUCCCCAAGCCUGGAGACGUCUCCCAGCUCGCAGGCCAAGACGCCCGAGUUCGUGGUUGGUGCAAGUGAAAGUGGCCCAGGAUCAGCAGCGCCCCGGAGCGGGGAGCCUGGGCCAGCCUCGAAGGGAAGACAACGCUGGACGAGGCAGAGGUGGUCUGUGAACCCCUGUGUCCCACCUGGGGGGCUCAUGAUCCAGCUGCUCCGGGCUGAAGGGAAGGGGUUCCAGAGCGGCUAGGCCACCGUCUCCUCAUCUGGAAAAGCGGCUUCACCUUUGGACAUCAAGCCUCUCCUUGAAGCAGAUCCAGGGCAGGUGGGGGAAGGCCCCGCCUUCUUGGCUGUGGGGCCCCAAGCAAGUUGCUUCACAUCGCUGAGGUCUGAUUUCUACACGUGGGAUAGCGAACCUGCGCCUCCCAACCCAGCUUCGCGUCUUUUGCACCUGCUGUUUCCUCCACCAGACUGUGAUUUCCCUUUCCAAAUGUGUGCAUCCUUCUCCUUCAGGCCUCAGGGGCCCUCUGCAGAGCACCCCACACCGCUACCCCCAAGAGCUCCUUUGCGCAUCGGGGAGAGGAAGGGCCAUAAAGCUGCUUUAUGGCGUUUAAGGCGACAUCGCCUUGCGCCUGUGGGGGCUCGGAGCCGGCAGCUGUUUCUAUUCAUAGUAAGGGGACACAUAGUGGAAUGGGGGAGUCCAGACCCCAGGAGAGAAGCAGCAGAUCCUGGGAGAAGCGAAGGGGGAAGCCCCUGAGAGAGAUGUGGGCCGAGGUCAGAGAGAGAUUUCAGGCGGGAGGUGGGGUGGCUGGAGGGAAGGGUCAGCCGGCAGGAAGAGAUGCGGGCUGAGCUCUCUGCCUUUGGGCUGCUGCUUGGCUGCCUGAUGCCCUCCUUCCCCUACCCCCACCCCAUGGGUGAGCAUGGAGUAUUCAGGAUGGGCUUCCUAGAGGAGGUGACCUCUGAACCUGCGAGGUGAGUGGAGGGGGGCAUUAAGCCGAGUUAGGGUCCAGAGGUGAGUGAAGAAGAGAGGACAGCCACCAAAGGCGCUCCAGGGCUCUCCCAUGAGAGACACAGUCAGACUUCAUUUUUGACUCUGCAGCGGGUGCUUCUGCGGCCCAGUGGGGGAGGGGGUGCAGACAGGAGAGAAAGGAGGGACUCCAGGGGGAUGGAGUGGUAAACUGGCCAGGGCUCUGGGCAUCAGGGGAGGCCGGGACCUGGUUGGCAGGAGCGGAGAAAUGGCAAGUCCAUUGUGGGGUGUCUGGGGAGGGGCAGCGGGGACCCAGGGGACCCUGGGACCUGAGGGAGACAGGGGAAGCCCCUUGCCUUUCCUCCAGGUGUCCCCACCUUUUGCGCUUGAACGGGGGACAGAAGGGUAGGCCCGGAGCAGCAGAAGCCCUGAUCCAGGUGGAAGAGGCUAGACUGUUGAUUCAGACGAUGGAGAAGGGGACCACGAGCCAAGCAAAGCAGGUGCCCCUAGAAGCCAGAACCACGUUCUCCCCAAGAGCUUCCAGAAGUAAUGUAGCCCUGCACACACCCUGACUUGAGCGCAGGAGACCCGUUUGGACUUCUGAGCUCCAGAACUAUCAGAUAAAUGUGUGUUGGUUUUUGUUUU